rnacentral:rRNA from 1 species
UACGUAGGCAGCGAGCGUUGUUCGGAGUUACUGGGCGUAAAGAGUGCGUAGGCGGUUUUCUAAGUUUGGUGUGAAAUCUCCCGGCUUAACUGGGAGGGUGCGCCGAAGACUGGAAGGCUUGAGUAUGGGAGAGGUAAGCGGAAUUCCUAGUGUAGCGGUGAAAUGCGUAGAUAUCAGGAGGAACACCUGCGGUGUAGACGGCUUACUGGACCAUCACUGACGCUGAGGCACGAAAGCGUGGGGAGCGAACAGG